UGGUGCGGUUGUGCCAUGGCUUA
rnacentral:siRNA from 1 species